rnacentral:sRNA from 1 species
GCCAGGGAUGAUGUCACACCUGUAGUCCCAGCUUUUUGGGAGGCUGAAGUGGGAGGAUCACUUGAGCCAAGGAAUCUUGAGGCCAGCCUGGGCAACAUAGCAAGAUCUCAUCUCUA